rnacentral:rRNA from 1 species
UACGUACCGGACGAACGUUAUUCGGAAUUACUGGGCUUAAAGAGUGCGUAGGCGGCUUUGAAGGUGGGGUGUGAAAGCCCACGGCUCAACCGUGGAAUGGCGCUCCAAACCGCAUGGCUUGAGGAAGACAGAGGUGAGCGGAACUGAUGGUGGAGCGGUGAAAUGCGUUGAUAUCAUCAGGAACACCCGUGGCGAAGGCGGCUCACUGGGUCUUAUCUGACGCUGAGGCACGAAAGCUAGGGGAGCGAACGGG